rnacentral:sRNA from 1 species
GCUGGGCGUGGUAGCACAUGCCUGUAAUCUCAGGUGCUUGGGAGGCUGAAGCAGGAGGAUCGCACGUUCAAAGCAGGCUCAGCAAAAGCGAAGAGCUAAGCAACUCGGUGACACCCUGUCUCUA